rnacentral:rRNA from 1 species
GUGAGGAAUAUUGGUCAAUGGACGUAAGUCUGAACCAGCCAAGUCGCGUGAGGGAAGACUGCCCUAUGGGUUGUAAACCUCUUUUAUAAGGGAAGAAUAAGUUCUACGUGUAGAAUGAUGCCUGUACCUUAUGAAUAAGCAUCGGCUAACUCCGUGCCAGCAGCCGCGGUAAUACGGAGGAUGCGAGCGUUAUCCGGAUUUAUUGGGUUUAAAGGGUGCGUAGGCGGUUUAUUAAGUUAGUGGUUAAAUAUUUGAGCUAAACUCAAUUGUGCCAUUAAUACUGGUAAACUGGAGUACAGACGAGGUAGGCGGAAUAAGUUAAGUAGCGGUGAAAUGCAUAGAUAUAACUUAGAACUCCGAUAGCGAAGGCAGCUUACCAGACUGUAACUGACGCUGAUGCACGAGAGCGUGGGUAGCGAACAGGA